AGUCAGAGAAGACUGGCACUAAUUCCCAUCCAUGGCACUGAAGGGAUGUUCUUGGUCAGCCAAUCUGGCUUCCCCUGGUUCUGCUAACAAAAAGGACUUCAUAUAGGAAGGUUAUGUCUUGUUUCCUCUUAUAAGACCCAGCUUGGACUAAACACUUCCCUUUCUUUCAGAACUUUCCCAAAGGCUACAAGAAUGAGCUAACACACUCCAAGACUGUGACAUUUUUUCUACGUACAGAAUUCUCACCCUCAGGCAGGAAGAACAGCCCCAAGAAUUCCAGGUUGCCAACAGUUUAUUAAUCAAGUGAAAGCAAACUCAAAAUUUUCUCAGAAAUGGUGCUAGAGUAUAAUGAAUGCAAAGUCUACCUAAAGAACGAACAAUCCCAGCCAUCAAAGAGACAAUCAAUAGAAAUAAAAUAGAGUCCAAUAUCCAA